ACAGUAUUUGAAAUUUGAAAACAUCGGUUCUCGUCCGAUCACCAAAGUUAAGCAAUAUCGGGCCCGGUCAGUUCUUGGGGAGGGUGAUCAUGGUGCCAUGAUC